UACGUAGGGGGGCAAGCGUUUGUCCGGAUUUAUUGGGCGUAAAGAGCGUGUAGGCGGUUUGGUAGGUCCGCUGUGAAAACUCGAGGCUCAACCUCGAGACGCCGGUGGAAACCAUCAGGCUAGAGUCCGGAAGAGGAGAGUGGAAUUCCGGGUGUAGCGGUGGAAUGCGUAGAGAUCCGGAAGAACACCGGUGGGCGAAGGCGGCCUGCUGGGCAGUGGC
rnacentral:rRNA from 1 species